GGCACAGUGGCUUAGUGGUUAACACAUUUGCCUUGCACCUCCAAGGUUGGGGGUUCAAUUCCCACCUCUGCCC